UACGGUAUUUCGGCAAUACGCCUACAUAGCGUUAUUGUACUACGUCGUCAACUGUAAAAUACCCGCCGCAGUAUGACGAAAAUUAAAUGCAAGUUAAAAAAAUGAACUACGUCGCGCCCGCGUUUAUUGCGUUUAUUCGUAUAAAUGUAUUGGUAUUAAACGGGAACCAGUUAUUCGGCUCAAAAGUACCUUUUCCAAACGGGAAUCAACUCGGCAUAUUAUGCAGAGGUAUGAGCUUGGGAACAGAUUCGGAUACAUCCGGAGGGACGUAACCCCCUACCUCUCGCACGUGGCUGUUCGCGGUUAUCGAACGUUCGUCGCCGAUUCAGGUGACCCGCGAGUCGUCGAAAUAUUGACCUAUAUGUUACACCGGAAAAAUUGUCCGACCCGUUCCGGCGGAAAAAAAAAUUGUUUUUUUUUUUUUUUUACGCUACGACACCCGUACGCAUUUUAUUGUAAAGCAAACGGAUGGAAAUAGGUGAUGUAUACCUACUGUACUGC